GACAGAGGCCUCACGCGUUAGGCGGAAUCACUGGGCUUAAAGCGUGUGUAGGCGGACGCCUAAGUGUCUUGUGAAAUCCCCCGGCUCACCCGGGGAACUGCUGGGCAUACUGGGCGUCUUGGGCCAACUAGGGGCAACUGGAACAAGCGGUGGAGCGGUGAAAUGCGUAGAUAUCGCUUGGAACGCCGAAGGUGAAAACAGGUUGCUGGGGUUGUGCCGACGCUGAGACACGAAAGCCAGGGGAGCAAACGGG
rnacentral:rRNA from 1 species